rnacentral:misc_RNA from 1 species
GAUGAAGAACGUAGUGAAAUGCGAUAAUUAAUGCGAAUUGCAGAAUUCAGUGAAUCAUCGAGUCUUUGAACGCACAUUGCGCCCCCUGGUAUUCCGGGGGGCAUGCCUGUCCGAGCGUCAUUGCUGCCCUCAAGCACGGCUUGUGUGUUGGGCUUCCGUCCCUGGCAACGGGGACGGGCCCAAAAGGCAGUGGCGGCACCAUGUCUGGUCCUCGAGCGUAUGGGGCUUUGUCACCCGCUCCCGUAGGUCCAGCUGGCAGCUAGCCUCGCAACCAAUCUUUUUAACCAGGUUGACCUCGGAUCAGGUAGGGAUACCCGCUGAACUUAAGCAUAUCAAUAAGCGGAGGA